GACGUAGGAGGCGAGCGUUGUCCGGAGUCACUGGGCGUAAAGGGCGCGCAGGCGGCCGAGCGCGCCGCUCCGUUACAGCCCCCGGCUCAACCGGGCGGAUGCGGGCGGGACGGCUCGGCUGGAGGGCGAGAGGGGCCAGUGGAAUUCCCGGUGUAGUGGUGAAAUGCGUAGAUACCGGGAGGAACACCCGCAGCGAAGGCGGCUGGCUGGGUCGACCCUGACGCUGAGGCGCGAAGGCUCGGGGAGCGAACGGG
rnacentral:rRNA from 1 species